AGAGUUUGAUCCUGGCUCAGGAUGAACGCUGGCUGUGUGCCUAAUACAUGCAUGUCGAGCGAGGUUCUUUUGAACCUAGCGGCGAAUGGGUGAGUAACAUGUGCUUAAUCUACCCUUUAGAUUGGAAUACCCAAUGGAAACAUUGGCUAAUGCCGGAUACGCAUGGAAUCGCAUGAUUCCUUUGUGAAAGGAGCCCUUAAAGCUCCGCUAGAGGAUGAGGGUGCGGAACAUUAGUUAGUUGGUAGGGUAAUGGCCUACCAAGACUAUGAUGUUUAGCCGGGUCGAGAGACUGAACGGCCACAUUGGGACUGAGAUACGGCCCAAACUCCUACGGGAGGCAGCAGUAGGGAAUAUUCCACAAUGAGCGAAAGCUUGAUGGAGCGACACAGCGUGCACGAUGAAGGUCUUCGGAUUGUAAAGUGCUGUUAUAGGGAAAGAACACCUGGUUGA
rnacentral:rRNA from 2 species